CAAGAUUGUCUGAUUUUGGAUUGGCAAAGAUAUUCGGGCACAGUAUUGAGGAUGAGAUUGCUCGUGGGACACCAGGUUAUGUGCCACCUGAGUUUCUUUUGCCAGAAAGUGGCUCACCUAAAGGAGCAACACCAUACUCUGAUGUUUAUGGAUUUGGGAUUGUUCUCUUUGAGUUAGUUACAGGGAAAAAACCAGCUGAAGAUGCUUAUGAAGAUAAAGAAACAACUUUGGUUAGUUGGGUGAGGGGAUUAGUUAGGAAAAACGAGGGUUCAAGAGCCAUUGACCCCAAAAUUCGUGGAACUGGACCCAAGUCUCAGUUUGUUGAGGCCUUAAAGAUCGGAUAUUUAUGCACUGCUGAUCAUCCCUCUAAGCGGCCAAGCAUGCAGCAAGUCGUAGGACUUCUAAAGGAUAUCGAACCAUCUAUGAACUAGUGACAGAAUUCCAGUUUCAUUUCCUAGCAAUGUAAAUUGUUUUGUUGUUUGGUUUCACGAGUCCUUCAUGCAUGCUCUGCAUUCAGGUGAUUUUUACAGUAGUUAUUUGAUUUUAUAUAUUGGAAUCCGCCAACUUUGGACUAACUUCUUGUUUACAUCAAGGCCAGAAGAAUCUUAGUUGUCCUGUGAGUUAAAAAAUAUGCAUUUCAUAUCUUGUUUCUUUUUUGUUCCUUCCUAAGUUGUCAUUAAUUCGCUUAUUACUGUUACUAAUGUAAUCAACUUAGGUGCUUUCACUUGUAGUAGAGUGGACAUACUGUUUCUGGAUCUUUUACUCUACAGGCCGUAUCAUUAAACAUUGACUCCGCCUUUUAUAUGCACAAUCUCUGCGCUUUCUUCCUACUGAACAUAUAAGGCAGGGUUCCCGUCAACCCUGUCCCGAAAAAAAAAAAAAAUCAUAUUUUCUAACAGAAAAUAGCAGCAGAAGCUAGAAUGCUGCAUUAUCUUGAAAAUUCUAGAGAGAAAAAACUUUGACAGCACGAGUAAGACAGAAUUGUAAUUCUGCUUGUUUGUUGUACUCGAAGAUUAUUUAGCACUUUCUUUUCACAGAAUUACAAGUGCACUGCAGUGGGGCUGUCAUGCCUUUUUAUUCUUAGGAUACCUAUCCACUACAUUAUGUACUUGAGUCUUGAGUUUAUAAAUCAAUCUUUUUGUGCAAAUUUUUCUGUUGAGUUGUGAGGACAGUGACUGCACCAUGACAUUCCAAUCCACCNAGAAUGGAAACUUGCAAAAUUUGCUUCAUGACCUGCCACUUGGGCUUCAAACUAUAGAAGAUUGGAGUACAGACACAUGGGAAGAAGAUAAUAAUGGGAUUCAAAAUGUCGGGUCUGAAGGUUUGUUAACAACAUGGAGAUUCAGAUACAAGAUUGCACUUGGCACUGCCAGAGCAUUGGCAUUUCUUCACCACGGGUGCUCUCCUCCUAUAAUUCACAUAGAUGUUAAAUCUAGCAGUGUUUAUCUUGAUAUGAACUUAGAACCAAGAUUGUCUGAUUUUGGAUUGGCAAAGAUAUUCGGGCACAGUAUUGAGGAUGAGAUUGCUCGUGGGACACCAGGUUAUGUGCCACCUGAGUUUCUUUUGCCAGAAAGUGGCUCACCUAAAGGAGCAACACCAUACUCUGAUGUUUAUGGAUUUGGGAUUGUUCUCUUUGAGUUAGUUACAGGGAAAAAACCAGCUGAAGAUGCUUAUGAAGAUAAAGA
rnacentral:lncRNA from 1 species